CAAUGUAUUAAGCAUGUGCUGUCUGUUUGCCCCUUGGUCCUGAGUUCCCUCUUGUCUUGUGUUCGAAUCCCACCUCCUCUGUCUUUGUAUUUAGCUCCCUGGUUUUUUCCUUUGUGCUUGUUAAACCCUGGUGUCUGAUUUAGUAAUCGGUUUUGGUUUUGUUUCUUGUUCCCCUGCCUGUGUUAUUCCUAUGUACUUCCCUAGUGUUGAUAUAUGCAUUCUUGGUUAGUUCUUAGUUUCCCUGAUUGUUAGUUUCUUUGAGUUAAUUGGUUUCACCUGUGUCUUGUUUCCCUAGUCCUUGUUAAUCAGUCUCACCUGCCCUGUGUUAGUCAUUACCCCUUGUAGUAUAUUAGUUCCUGCCUUUGUUCUGCUCCCCGCUGGUUCAUCGUGUCUAAACUAUUGUCUAAGCUCGUGUCUCUGUCUACGUUUGUCUGUGACAAGGCAAGAAAGGUGGAGCUACAGGUUCUCACAAACAACUGACCUCGAUAAUGAAGGAGUAUUAAAGGGUUAGAGGAGAGACCGGCAGAAGCAGACAGUACUGGCUGAGCACUCAUUCUAGGCCUCCUUACUGACAGACACUAUAAUGGCAAAGUACUUCCAAGCCCUUAUUCUACUUGGAGCUCUUCUGGUAGGAGCGAUAGCUGAUGAGAAUGUUUCCCUGGUGAGGAAAGGCGCUAAUGGCCAGUACCACAUCAUCGUGAUGGACAUCAAGGCCCAGGUUGCCGUGGAGUAUGUGGACGCUGGGAAG